rnacentral:lncRNA from 1 species
GCCACAUAACUGCGGGCACGGCUCUCGAAAGUUUAAAUCCCUACAGGGGUGUCCCAACUUAGCCCAUGACAAGCUCUCACGGUCAACGAAGGAAUAGACCUCCACCCGAGACACUCCGAUCAGACUCGGUAUCCCGGUACAACAAGACAUUUCGACAGGGUAAAACUAAACCAGCAACACCGCCCGAAUGUGUCGACAAAUCCCGAUAGGAGCUGCACAUAUCUCUUUCUCAGGGCACACUCAGAUGAGACUAGCUACGAGUAAAACCAACCCUCAAGUUUCCCCGAGGUGGCCCCGCAGGCAGCUCAGUUCGAACCAACACUCAGAGGAGCACUGGCUCGGGGGGGUUAGAAUAAAGAUGACCCUUGAGUCUGCAGAACCCAAGGGAAGGUGGUAGGUUGUUAGUGCAAAUGGUAAAACCAAUGUUGGGCAUUGCUGGAGGAGCUUUACUUAAGGCGAACUGUCAAGGGGUUCCCAUUAUAGCCCAACCGUGUAAGGAACGCAAAAUCCGGGAACAUAACACCGAUAUGACGGAAACUAGGGCGGCAAGAGUGGAACAAAACACCAGGCAUAAGGCCGAGCCUUCCACCCUUUACCAAGUAUAUAGAUGCAUUAAUUAAAUAAGAUAUAUUGUGAUAUCCCAACAAGUAAACAUGUUCCAACAAGGAACAACAUCUCCAUGUUCCAACAAGGAACAAACUUCAAUCUUCACCUGCAACUAACAACGCUAUAAGAGGGGAUGAGCAAAGCGGUAACAUAGCCAAUCAACGGUUUGCUAGGACAUGGUGGGUUAGAGGUUUGACAUGGCAAUUUGGGAGGCUGAUAAGAAAAUGGUAGACAUCGUAGCAUUGGCAUAGCAAAAGAGCGAGCAAACUAGCAUAGCAAAGAUAGUAGUGAUUUCGAGGGUAUGAUCAUCUUGCCUGAGAUCCCGCAAGGAAUAAGAACGAUUCCAUGAAGAAGACAAACGGGCGUAGUCGAACGAAUCCUCACAACUCCGGAGCGAAACCGAAGCUAACGAGAGAAGCAACCCAGAAAGAAGCAAACAUCAUGGUAAACACACAAGCAUAAACAUGGCAUAAUGCGCAAACAAGUAUGAUGCAUGUCCGGUUUAAUGAGGCAUGGCAUGGCAAAGUGCAACAAGGAAUACUACAAGUUAAGUGGAGCUCAAUAUGCAACGAGUUGCAUAUUGACAAAACACCACGACAAGUUAAUUUAGUUCGAUCUCGUUUAUGUACCCCAACAAAAUUAAAUGUUGAUUCACAUGGCAAGAGGUGAAGCAUGACAAAACUACCUAUCUAGGCAAGUUUAAAUGAGGCCGGAAGCAACGAACAAUAAUUCCGGUAGAUCCUCAUAUGCAUAGUUUAAGGUUUGGUACUGUUCUGCCCUAAACACAAUUUUAGAGUUGUUAAACAUGCAAGAUGAGUGCACCAUGUUAAACUAGGCAAAAUUCUACCCCAUUUACAUAUAAAGUUUAUUAAAAUCGGAGUUACGGUUAUUUAGUUAUGAAUUAAACUAUUUUAGCAUGACAUAGGAGCAAAUUUAAUCAAACAUCAUUUUAAACAUUUUUAACAUGGAUGAAAGUGGCAUAUUAUGAAACUAGGCAAAAUUCUAAGCAUUUUACAUAUAUAAGUUAUUUACAUGUGAUGCACGGUUCAAGAGUAAUUAAAUGCAUGAACUAGGAGGGUUUUACUGUAAAACAGUUAAAUUACUGGAUAAAGCGAAAUUCGCAGAACUGAAAAAAAAACAAGACAUGGGCCAGAUCUGCUGGGCGCUGGGCUGGGGUCUCACCAUGGGCUCUUGGCCCGGUCGAUGGAGGAGGCUGGCUGGGCCUGGGGUGGCUGUGACCCAGCCGGAUCGGUCAACGGGCGAGCGAGGGGUCGGGCGAACUGCUCUGCUCGUUUCUGACGAACAGAAACAACAUCAUGUCCAUGGCGACAGGAAGCAGGAGGUCGCCGCGGCGGGGCUCGGGGGGGAACCGGCCGCAACGGGCGGAUCCGGGCGCGGGAAGAUGGAUCUGGCUGGUCUUGGGGAAGAUCGAGGCGCGGGAUGCAGCGCGAAGCAGAGGGCGACGAUGGCGAGGCAGAGGAGCGGACGAAGCUCUUGCAGGGCGGGCGUCCACACUCGAUGACUCGUGCGCGUGGACGAGGACGGCUGCAGUGCUGCUGGCGGCUUGCUCGCCGGGGAUGGCGCGGGCCGCGACAGUGAAGGCAAAGGGCGACGGCGCAGCCACGACAACUUGGCGGCGGCUGACUUGGAAGAAGGGGACGGUCAUGGCGUCGGGGCGGAGCGGCUGGUCCGACGAGGCGCACGGGAGGAGGAGGAAAGGCCCUGGCGGCUUGACUCUGGCAGAAGACGGCGGAGCUCCAUCCGGUGGCCAUGGCGAGGCUCCUGACUGUCCUGAAGAACAAGAGACGGCGAGGUGAGGUGGAGAAGAGGGAAAACAGAGGGAAAAGGAAGGAGAGGGCGACAACGGCCCUACUCUCGGACGAGUUCCGGCGAGGUACGGUUGCCGGUGGUGGCGCCCGAGGAGCAGCGGCAGUCGGGCACGAGGUGCUCGAGGAGGAAUCGAGCGGGAGGAUCUCGGGGCCUCGGUUGCGGGGUUGGGUGGAUCGAGGGAAGGAGGUGGUUGGCCCGAUCGGGAAUUCGAGGGAGAGAGGGUGGAUCUGGAGGGAUCCCGAUGAAGAUGCUGAGUGGGUGGCGGCGUGGCUAGGGACAAGGGGAGAAUUUUUAGGGUUGUCCAAAUAGAUUAGGGGCGGACUAUAUAUAUGAAAAAGGAGGGGAGUUUGGAUCAUCCGAUUAAAAUCGUACGGUCGUGAAUAAAAUAGUUAGGGAGCCCAAUUAACAAAACGGAGAUGUUUUGUAGAUGUUUGGGGAUGAUCCGGAUACAAUGGUGACGACUCCCCGGGUCGGGUUCGAGACAAUUUCGGACGCGCACGUGAGGGGUUCGAUGCACUGUGCAGAGGGGGGGGGGAAGAGAGAGAGAGAGCCCGGCAUGGUUUCCGGAUACCGAAAACGUCCGACGUUAGACCGGCUAUAUUGCCGCUAUAGUUAUCCGUUGGGCUAUCAAACGAACUCCGAAUGCGAUGAAACUUGACAGCCGGUCUAUCUACACUAUAAUAAGACCACACGUCAACUCUCAACCCAUUCCGAGAACAUUUUUCCGCCACUUAUAAAAUAAUAUUUCGGACAUGCCGCGGGUGCGUGCAAGUGUGAAAGGGCUCAGAACGGACAACGGAGAGAACGAGGAGGCCGGGACGGAUGCAAGUUUUGAAAACAUGAUGAUGCUAUGCACAUGAUGACAUGAUGAAAUGCAACACGCAAUAAAAUGACAAGGCAACAACAACGAAUAACUGGACGACACCUGGCACAUCGGUCUCGGGGCGUUACAACACUCCACCACUACGAGAGGAUCUCGUCCCGAGAUCUAGAAUGGCACCGGAGGGAAAACGGAAGAGAAAAAGAAAGGUAAAACUAAGUUGCUUCUUUGACGAACGAGUGAAACCACGAACCUUGAGAGGUUGAGCAAUUUAAAAGAAAGAGUACAACAGAGAUGAACGAGAUUGCAAACAAUCCGUUAGAAAAAAACAAGGAACAUUAUGGGAACUUGAAGGUUGCAAAGACAUGAAUCAAGAGUUUAAAGGACAAGAUAGAAUUUGAAAACACUCCUGUUAAAACAAGAUGAGAGGGGAAGAAUUCGGGCAGCACUCCGGUUGAACAUGGAAGGAAUUGAACAUGAACUUGACAAUAUGAGAGGAUACUUGAUGAAAUGAACAACACACUGCCUCCGGAACUAUUAAAAAAAAGGCACAAGGGGUAAGAAAGAUUUCAGACAGCUCUCCAGUUGAGGAAGGAGGGAAAACUUGAUAAAAUUAGAGAACUCGAAUGAAAACACGACACUCCGGUUAAAUGGAUAAGUAAGGAAAAGAACAUGAUCUCCAAAAUGAUAUAAUGGGUCAAAGAAAACAUCACAAUGCCUUCGGGACAAAUGAAAGAGUGGAAUCGAGAGAACAAAGAAGAGAAUAACAACUUCUAUCACAAUUGAAUUUGAAAGAGCCUCCUUAAAAAGAAGGAUUGAACGGAGUUGUUAGAAAACCAACAACAAAAAGAAUAAGCUUGUAGUGGACUUAUUGAAACAUCUCAACAUUAUGAGGUGACAAAUGGCCACUAAAGGAAGCCAUUGAUUUGAGUGAGAGCACCAAGGCGAUGAAAACUUCUUUCACCAAGAGGAUAGGAGAAAACUUGGAUCAUUGAUAAGCACCACAAAAGCAGCAUUCCUUAGGGAAGGCUUUAGGUGAAAAAUGACACAAGAUAACUCCAACAAGGAGAUUGAUGGAUUUAAAAUACCUCAAUCUUGACAACUUGAAUAACCAAGGGAAAUUGUCAAGAGUGACAUAACACCAUCUGAAAAGAUAAGGUCGAAAGAAUUGCACUUCGGAAUGCAAGAUGAAGAAUGCUUGAACUCCUCAAAACAAAACAUGUGUUAAGCACCAUGUUUAUUUUGAAGUAUGGCUUGACGGAUCUUAACUUCGAGAGAAAACUUGAUGAACAAUUGAAGAAUGAAAGGAAUCCUUGACGGACCACCAUGAAGAAACUCCAUGAAGAACUCCGGUAAACAAAAGGAAUGAAAAGAAAGGGAAAUUGAAAACACAAGGUGAAUACUUGCAAUGAUUUAGAUGGAUCUCCGUGAUAAUUAGAGCUUGGAACUCCGGGAAAAAGAGAAGAUGAAACAAAUGAAACCGAGAAUUUUAAGGGCCUCCGGAAUAAAGAAUUAAUCACUUGGAUGAACAAGAAUAAGAAUUAUGUUAUGCUUAUCCUUCACCAAUUAAAUUGAUGACAAGCAACGGAUUUGGCAUACCACUUAUUCUCAUAGAAAGGAUUAAAAGAGAUAUAUCAAAACUUGAGAAGGUCUUCAACGAACCACCGGUAGGAUUGGAACAACAAAUGAAUUGAUAUGAUGAACAAGGAAGAGAGAUCUUGAAAGAACCACCGUAAGAAUUGAUAAUGAUCAAAGUAGGGGUGCAUCACCGGUAAGAAUUAGCAAAUGAAUGAAGGUGCUUGAGACAAACUAGAUACAUGAGAACAAAGAGAUCAAGAACUGAUUAGAGGAUAUUCGACUGAUGCACCGGCAAGAUAGGAGAACGAGAGCUGAAAGCUGAGAAUGAAUAAUUCUGAGAUGAUGGGCUUCAAAGAAUGAAACUGAAAAGACUCCUAAAAUGCUCCGGAUGGGUGAAAAAGAUUCUCACAAUCGAAAACAAUUAUGAGAGGAUGGCAACAAGCUAGCACCAUGAAUCUUGAAGAGAAUAGAGCAAGAUUAAAGAGAAACUCUUUUUCGGUCUUCAAAUGAUGAGAAUGACAACGAGAAACACCACCAAGAAUUAUUGAGGCACACCGGAAGAAUCAAAAGCGAAGAGGUUGAGCCAACUAUGAAAAGAAUUUGAAAGAUCUUGGAGAAAGCAUUUGACUGAUGAUAACUCAUUCUUACGUCAAACUUGGAGAAGAAUUUAGGAUAGCUCUGGGAAAAUAGAAGAGUCAGGUAAGAUCCUGGGAAAAGACUUGUGGGUUAGGGCCCACUCAAAAGAAAACACCGUUGAAAAGAUUUAAAAGAGAUGUUGCACCGGAUGAAUUAAAUGACUUGAAUGAGAUACCAAUCUCGAAAGAGCUUGAACGAAUGCAGAGUGGAAACACGAAUCUUCGAGAUAUCUUGAGCACUCCGGAAUAACAAAUAGCGAGAAGUAGAAUGAUAAUGAGGUGCACCGGUAUGAGAAGACAUUGAAAUGAGGAAAAAGGUAUGAUUAACAAAACUUGACUUGAAUCCACCGGAGAAGAGAAAGGAAUGAGGAAUGACGAACUAGUAGAACAUCUUCUUGAGAACCACCGGGUAAGAACAUUGACGGAAAAGAAUGGAGAAACUUCACAAAAAUAAAAGGAUACUUGGUAAAGAAAUCCUAGUCCUUGAGGAAAAAGGGUGGGUGGGCGGGAAAAAAACAAAGGCAACUUGGAGACGGAUGAAACAAACACCGUUGAGAAGAAAUGAUAAUUGGUCUUGCUGAUGUUGAAGUGAUCGGAUCCACUUGAAGAGAAACACACCGGUUGAAAAGGAUUGACAUGACAAUCUCGAUUGUCGAGAAGGGUUGGUAUUCACAUCAGAGUAUGAGAACACCAUUUCGGAAAGGUAUGGAAUCAACACUUGACAUUGAAGCAACUCGAAUACCACAACUCAAAACAAAAACAAAGGACUGGCUUGCAGAAUAAGCCAGAACAAACAUAUGAUAGAAAUUUCGUCCGAAGUUUUCGUGGUGGGGCCUACACGGGCUCAAUCGUACAACACCAUCAUGUACAAGGCAGUGCACAUGACAUACGAAGCAUCCCCGAGUCGGCAUAGCCAAGGACUCUUUAAGACACAAUGAGACCACUGUAAAACCAACCGUGAAUAGGCGGACCACUAGACGUCGAACCCCAAUUUCAUAUCAUACAUCCGUCAGAAAGAUAUCCUAAGGGCUACUUGAAUUCCCACCUAUGAAACUCCCGAAAUUUUCCGGUUAUGCAAUCAGGUGUUGGGGAUACAGGGGAAGCAAUAUAUCUCACACAAAACUAGCAAAUCCUACAUCCAGCUGUAUCCAUCCUUCAACACAUAACCAAGAAACCUUCGGAAAUCGUCUACCUCAACCUUCGAAAAGCAUCCGUUUUACGAGUCAUGGCAAUACUCCCGUACUCACCUCAGUACUGGGUUAUCGGGGUUAUCUCACCAACAACUGCAUAAAAGAGAUUUUCGAUGUCGGCGUACUAAACUCAGGUAUUCCAGAACUGCAACGAUAAAAUUAUGAUGACAACACCUCAGAGCUCAACUCCCCGUGACACUUCCACUAAACCCCUGACAGGAGGCACCAAGACAAUGUUCUCAUCAUAAAACCAUCGGAACGAUUCCAAGAUACCCGCGGGAUCCUAAAUUUUUUUUAGUGAAAUUUGAGAAGAGAAGAGUCAAAACUCUACGUCAGGAUGCCUUACCAGAGCGAUGAAAAGAUUGGGGAGUAAAAAGAAUUCCUAACUCUCCGAUAUAUAUAAUCCUAAAUGACUCAAAACAUUUUUCUAGACACAACUCGGCCGCUAAAAACGAUCAAGCAGUGGGGCUCCUAAGGUCGGGGAAGGCUCUGAUUACCAACUUGUAACGCCCUCGAUGCGGCUAUAUCUCCCACGUGUUGAAGCACGACUUAGAGGCAUAACCGCAUUGAAAGCAAUGUCGCAAGUGAGGUAAUCUUCACACAACCCAUGUAAUACAUAAGGGAAAAAGAUACAUAGUUGGCUUACAAUCGCCACUUCACACAAUUACAUGAAUAAAGCAUUACAUCAUCCAGAUACAAUCAAGGUCCGACUACGGAACCAAAAUAAAAGAAGAACCCCAAAUGCGACAAAGGUCCCCGAUCGACCCCAACUGGGCUCCACUACUGAUCAACUAGAACGAAACAACACAAAGGGCAAGAUCUUCAUUGAGCUCCUCCUUGAGCUCGGAUGCGUCACCUGCAUGGUUUCAUCGGCACCUGCAAACUGGUUUUGGAAGUAUCUGGUGAGUCACGAGGACUCAACAAUCUCGCACCCGCGAGAUCAAGACUAUUUAAGCUUAUGGUAAGGUAAAGGCAUGAGGUGGAGCUGCAGCAAGCGACUAGCAUAUAUGGUGGCUAACAUACGCAAAUGAGAGCGAGAAGAGAAGGCAAAGCACGGUCGAUAAAAGUAUGAUCAAGAAGUGAUCCUAUAGCAACCUGCGGCAAGCAUAACUCCAACACCGUGUUCACUUCCCGGACUCCGCCGGAAAGAGACCAUCACGGUUACACACACGGUUGAUGUAUUUUAAUUAAGGUCAACUUCGGGUUUUCUACAACCGGACAUUAACAAAUUCCCAUCUUCCACAUAACCGCGGGCACGACUCUCGAAAGUUUAAAUCCCUGCAGGGGUGUCCCAACUUAGCCCAUGACAAGCUCUCACGGUCAACGAAGGAAUAGACCUCCACCCAAGACACUCCGAUCAGACUCGGUAUCCCGGUACAACAAGACAUUUCGACAGGGUAAAACUAAACCAGCAACACCGCCCGAAUGUGCCGACAAAUCCCGAUAGGAGCUGCACAUAUCUCUUUCUCAGGGCACACUCAGAUGAGACUAGCUACGAGUAAAACCAACCCUCAAGUUUCCCCGAGGUGGCCCCGCAGGCAGCUC